rnacentral:lncRNA from 1 species
GCUAAAGAUCUAUAGGUGGCUGAGUUUUGCUGUAUUGAUAGUGAAAAAGUUUGUGGCAGCAAAGAGUUUAUGAUUCCUGAGUAGGGUGUUUUAGGGCAAUCGAUAGGUUUGUGCUUGAGUGGCUGUCUAAAAGGGAUUUAUCUUAUAAUGUUUAAGGGGUUGAAGUCAAACCUGAGCAUGACCAAUUAAUUGAUCUGUCCAACCCUUAUUCUGGCUAUACGGUUACCACCUGUACUUGGAAUUGUCUCAGUUGAUGCCACUUUUGCAUUCAAGAGCAUGACUGCCCACUCCAAAUCUUUUCUUUUCGAAUUCGUUCAACCUCCCAAACAAACAAAAAGGGGAUUGAAAGGAUUUCCAACUUCUUGCAAUUUGCAUGGUGCGAUACUGAUUUUUCAACACACCCUCUCUAUGAUUCUUUAUGCAUUUGUACAAAUGACAAAAUCUUUAAUAUUUUCGCUGGAGAUGAAAAGUCAUAAUCCCAUACUUUGUUUCUUCAGUCUUUCUUUUUCUUUAUGCUGUCCCCACUCUGUCUUGUUUUGAAAAGAAAAAAUGUAUUGCGGCUGUCUGGUUCAUCUUGCUCAUUCAUAAAUGGAGGAUAUCCAGGUUAAGAAAAUUAUUCCAAACAAACAAUCAGAUGUUUGAUUUGAGAGCUUAACAGAUACUAUACCUUUUUUUUUUUUGGGCUGCACUUUUACAGGCAAGGGAAUUCUUUUUACAGUGAUGAAUAAUUCCGUUUUUUGGCCUUUCUUUUACUUUGCCCUUUGCUUUGUCUUUUUUCCUUGUCUGUUUCUCUUCUUCUUCCUUAUUCUUCACCAGCAAACCCUAGCACAUUAGCAUCGCCACAGUGCCACCAUCAAUUGCCAAUGCACCGCUUUUGACCACCGUCAACCACUACCAGCAGGCAUCAAUUUUAAGAAACCACAUAUGAUCUUACUUCAUUUUUUGAUAUGCUUUCAUUUUCGGGUACAAGGUUGACAACCACAAUACUAGGCCUGAACCAUCAGCUGAAGCAGGCACUCAGCAAUUUUUUCCCAUCAAACCCAAGUUAAAAAACAAAAAUACACAUAUAAAAAUGAGUCAUUGGGUUUAAGGAAAUUAGCUCCACCAUCAGUUACUAAAACAUUCAUACAAAUGAAUUUGGGGGUAGGGGGCAUUCGUGGAGCAUAGGUGGAGGCAUGGGGAGAGUUUGCUGCAUUCUUUCUUCUUGGAUACUUGUAACUUUUUUUGUUUUGUUUUUCUCUUCACUAUAGUGGAGAACUAAGUAGGUUAACAGGGGUGAAACCCACUAAAUUUGUCGGAGUGACUAAACCCAUUGAAGACCACUAUGAUUCCUUUAAAUUCAUUUCUGGUGGUUGUUACGAAACAUAAUUCGGUAUGAUUGACUUUGACUCCCAUUGCUGGGUCUGAUUUACCUUUACCAAAAAGGUCCUUCAUUUACCUGUUUAAACUAUAAUUUCUCCAGCCGCUUCCUCAUCUUCUCAGCAGUUUUCAAGAUAGUUGUUUUCUAUGCAGCUGGCAGGAUCUUCAAACCUAGGGGCUGUGGAAGAGAUCUAUUUUGAUUUCAGGAAGCAGUGUUUCAUUUUUUCUAAGGAGAAGGAAACUUUUUGUAAGCUUCCUUAUCCUUCUAAGGAAACAUUUGGAUAUUAUCUGAAAAGCACUGGCCAUGGCACUGAGGCUAAAGUUGUUGCUGCUACUGAGAAAUGGGGACGGAAUGCGUAAGUUGUUCAUUUUUGUUAAUUGUGUUCCGAAUCCCACACUUCAUUUACAUGAAUUUUACACAUCAGACUGAUGAUGAGCAACCAAUCAUCCCUGCCCAUAUUAUCUGCUUAUGUUAGAAAAGAUUUAAUUUCUUUCUGAGUGGGAUUCUUGUGGUUGUUUCCAGUGUUACCAGAAGAUUUUAUCCUGUUCUCAGUGAUUUUCUUGGAUUUUGACCUUGAGAGAAUUUUGGAUUUUAUUGCAGCAUCUUCUUUUUCGUUUUCUUUUUUUUUCCUUUGUUUAUGCAGUUACACAGACAAAUAACCUGACAAUUUGAAAAUGGUACAUGGUGCUUUGAGACUUUCACUUCAAAUAGUAUGUCGCUGUCAAAGACAAGGCCUUUUUGCUUGAUGUUCUAGCAAUAUCUCCGUUUAAUCUCUUUUGUGUAUCAUGUGGAAUGUUUUUGAAUGCUUUUACUUAUUUUUCUCUUCCUUCCCUCUGAAAAUUUUAGCGUACAGAAUAUUAUAAACUUCUCUAAUAUACAAAUUUAUAAUCACUGCAAGUAGACAUAGGUUUAUUGGAUACUUCAAUUUCAUUUUGGUGUAUAGUCAUAGUCCAACAUUAGCAUCAAUUUGAGCAAUUCUUUUAAAGUAAUUAUUAUUUUUUUUAUGCUAUAUCACAUUUAUGCUCAUCAAUGUGUACUUCUGUUGAAUAUUUUGCAUCUACAUUUCAUAUAAUUCCUUUAUCCUCGUGUUGGUUUUUUGUUAUGUAGAUUUGAAUAUCCUCAGCCCACAUUCCAGAAAUUAAUGAAAGAGCAGGUCAUGGAACCAUUUUUUGUAUUCCAGGUCUGCCGUCAUUUACAUUUGUACUUCUGUGUUGCUUGAAAAAAAUGUCUUCUUCCGAUUUUGCGGUUCAUUAUUUUUGUGAUUAAUAGUGUUCUUUGCUCUUUCUAAUCUUUUGAUGCUGCUUCUGUAGGUCUUUUGUGUGGGCUUAUGGUGUUUAGAUGAAUACUGGUAUUACAGUCUCUUUACCCUGUUUAUGCUGUUUAUGUUUGAGUCAACAAUGGCCAAAAGUCGUUUAAAGACUCUCACUGAGCUCAGACGUGUAAGAGUAGACAACCAGACAAUAAUGGUGUAUCGGUGUGGGAAGUAUGUUUUGCCUAUGGCUAUUGCUAAUUUUUCCCCCCCCCUUCAUGUUCUUGAAUUUGCAAUCUUUUUUUGGAAUCUUUUGCUAUUGCUGAGUAGUGAAAAAUUUUGAACUGUAGAUGGGUUAAACUCACUGGGACAGACCUUUUGCCUGGGGAUGUUGUGUCUAUUGGGCGUUCUACUGGUCCAGCAGGAGAAGAUAAGUCUGCGCCAGCUGAUAUGCUUUUGCUAGCUGGAAGUGCGAUCGUAAAUGAAGCUAUUCUGACAGGCGAGUCUACCCCUCAGUGGAAGGUGGUCUUCUUGUUCUUUUUCUCUUCCCUAACCCACAAAACCAUUUUUUGGAAACUUUUGCUUUUUGCUUUUUGCUUUUCUUUUUUUUUUGUGGGAAUUUUAUGAUUGUGCUACUCUUUGUUUGGCAAAUAAAUAGAAUUGAUUGGUAUUUGGCACAAUGUUUCAUGGGAUCAAUUGAGAUGUUCAAUGUACGAAAGCUUGCACCUUUCUUGGCGAGAGUUAAUGCUUGAAAAGUGCAUGUUUGCAUAAGUGCAUAUCCUGGAGGUUAACAACAUAAAAAAUAUAGCUAAAAAGCUACUGUUUUAAUAUUCUUUAAUUUUCUUGUUGCAUAAGUGUGCUGAUAUCUUGGAAAAAUUAUUACAUCUAAAUUGUUCGUGGAGCCGUGUCCUGGGGGAAAAUAUAUGACUCCUAUGUUCUCUGCAGUAUCGACUCUUUGUGAGAAAGGGCAAGCUAAUAGUUGAAAAAUGAUGAAGGCUUUGGGAAACCCUUAAACUAGUUCCCUCUUUCAAAAACCCAAGCCAAGUUUGGAUUUUUAUCCAAAAGUGGCCUUUGUUUCUUGAAAGUUUGUUUUGUCAUGUUUGGGUGGGAUUGGUAAUGGACAAUUGUUUUUGCUCUUCUGAUGAGGUUGAACGUUCGCUAAGUUAGGACAAUUGUUCAGCUCCACUCAGAUUAAAGUAGGGAGACCGGGACACAAGUUAAAGCAUCUUGUUGUGAAGGUUAAGCACCCUGAUUUCACCAUUUGAAAUGAAAACCUCAAAUGUGACAUUAAGUGUUUUACUGUUCUGGACAAAGAAUGCUUAAUAAGCUCCUGUAAAGCUGGUAAGCAGCUAAUUUAGGUUUGAACUUUGCUUGUUGGUCCACUCAGGUAAAGCCUUUUGAGUCUUUUAGCACAAGUUGUGACUUGAUCUUUACCCUUACCAAAUAGUUGUUCUGCUUAAAAUUGGAUAGGAGCUAGCCAACACCCAUUAAUUUUUUAUAAGGUGAGGUGUUACAUUUUCUGUGCACCCUGAACAGUAAGGUACCUUAUCUGAACAGUCUAUGAAAACUUGAUUCUCCUUAAAAUUGGAUUGAAGAGUUUAUGGUUACAACAGAUGUCUCUCUCUCUCUCUCCCUGUUUUUUUUUUGGUACACUAACAGCAAGUGUGCAAUCGUGCUUGCCUUUGUAUCUGCAUUUUGAGUGAGGUCUGCAAAACGUUUGUAUCAAUGAACCAGAUCUCUCUGAGGGGUUGGCCUCUUAGUUUUACUGUCUUAUAUUUGAAAGAAGGAACUAGUUGAGAGAUUUAUCUGCAUGCAGCAUUGCAUUCUCUGCACAACUUUUUUUGAUGGCCAACACAAAUUACUCAUUUACUGGUGCUGCAUCUGUAUCUUCAGUGGAACUCUUUUAGUGGUUAAGCAGUUGAAAUCAAUUUUCUAGCUGGGUAGUUUUUUUUUGGAUCCGCAUCUCAUGGUCUUCUUGUUUCCUCUUUUUUUUUUUGGUCUUUUUUUGUCUUUUGUUUUUUAUAAGUUAUUCUUUUGAUGCUCUUCAACAUUUUUAAUGUGAAAAUGUCCUUUUCAGGUUUCAAUCAUUGGUAGAGGAACAGAUGAGAAAUUAUCAGCUAAUAUGGGAUUGCGAGAUUUUUAUUUUUAUUUUUUGCGAAUAAUGAUACAUAAACAUAUAGUUUGUUUGGAUAUGACUAGGGGUGAGCAUCGAAAUCGAAAUCGAUAAUUCGGCUGAUUAAAUUCAUUGAUUUCGGUAAUUUUUCUUGUGAGAUUCCAACCUAAUUCAAUUUCGAAUUGAAAACUUUUAGUUUCGAUUUCGAUUCAAUUCGAAAUUGGAAGAGUAGCGAAUACCGAAUUCAAAAAGAAUAAUGCAUUUUGUUAUAUAUUAUAAAGUGCAUCAUAACAUAAUAUAAUGAUAUAUUCUUAUGAUAACAUUUAGUUUUACAUAAAAUUGAAUGUAUAUAACAUUCUAAUAUGUAUUUUGCACAUGCUAUUUACUUAUAUAUGGUAUUCAUGUAUAAUACAUACAUGUCUAAAUUAUAUAUGUGUUGUUUAAUAUUUAAAUAUUUUUUCAAUUCAAAAUUAGUAAAAUCCGACUUCAAAAACCAGUACCAUUUUCAUAUCUAUUUCAAAAUACAUGAAUUCGAUAUCUUCGUCAUCCUUCUAAAUUUAUGAAUUACGAAUUCUGAAUUUUUGAAUUCAUUUGGAAAUUGAUUGGUAAUUUGGUAAAUUUUGAAUUUUUACACCCUUAAAUGUAACUUAGUAUUUGGGAAAUGUUGUCGAAUUUUCUAUGUUUCUCUCUCUCAUUUCUCUACAAUGAUCAUAUACAUGGGAGUCUAUAAACACUUACUAUGGUUCACUACCCAGCACUAUUUCGUUUUGGCGAAAAGUUUUGAGUUCUAGCUUGACUUUGAAAUUGACUUGUGUUCUCUGUACAUGCUCCAUUUUGCAGGUCAAUGACAUUCACCAAGCAGAUUCAUGCAAAGUUAUUCCUGCUAAAUUCUGUGGUUCAAAAGAAAUUGUGCCCCUACAUUUUCGAAAGGUUCGAAGCCUGCUGAUAAUCUUGUGAAUUUUGAUUUCCAGCCUUCUUGUUCCACGAGUUGAAUCCUGAUUUCAACUUAUUUUUGUUUUCAUUUUGACUUUGGAUAUACUGCUUUCAAUAGGUUGUCAUGAUUUCACUAAAGCUGUAAGUAAUAUGAGUUACACCAUUAGAUGCUACAGUAUCUGUCAGGCACAAAAUAGCUAUAUUAUGAAAUACGAAGUAUUCAUGGAAAAACCUGUACAUCCUGGCUAUGUUAUGAUUUACCUAUGGCAGUGAAUAAUUAGAGUUCCAUUCUCUGAAAAUUAUCCCCUGUACUUGUACGUCCAUUAUAGCUCACAUGAGAACUGUCUCCGAUCAAGUUGUCUUUGUACUAGGGAUUUGACCACUAGAUUCUGGAGCACUUGUCUGAAAGAUUAUUAGAACGAUGCUAUGAUGGCCUCGAUAUUUAAUCCAGAUUCUGGAUGGUUUAUUACCUGGCAAAUGAUAGGUGGCAAAUGGCAAGUUUGGUGUGUAAUUGGGUGGGUUGUAAGUGGAUCACUAAUAAAUGGGUGAAAUUCCAAUUGAACAAAUGAUUAUAAGGUAUUAGGUGGGUUAUCAAUGGACCUGUAAGACCUAUUCUCAAGGUGACAUGAUAAUUUUUUUUUCAACUAUCUUUUUACAUGAUUUUUACCCUUUUAUUUUCUCCCUCGUUUCCCCUUUACCUUUUGGCUUUUCGAUUCUAAAAUAUUAAUGCAAUUGCCAACUGUCCUCUCCAUUGCUUGUUGAAUUAUCUGUACCAUUUGCAUGAACACGCCAUUUUGAAUUUCAUUUUCUGCACAAAUACCAUCAUUGGCCUGCAAAAUACUAGAAAUUUGGUGAAAAGCUUUGAAUUGACUAUGGCCGACGCUGGCAACUUCAUGUCCUAGAGUAAAUGUUCCCCAAAUCACCCAAUAUUCCAUAAAGAGAUACUCUCACAAUCUUUUUUUUGAGAAGGUAAUAAUUAUAGAUCACGUUCCUCUUGUGUAGCAAAACCUCACUUCAUCAUUUACUUUGUCUGGAAAGAACAAAAAAUGAUUGCACCAAACCUCAAAGUGAAUAGUCAUUGAGAUUCCCAUUGUCUGAAAUUUCUGAACUUUUUUGAAUUUGGAAUAUCAUAAACAUGAACUUCUUGUGAGUGACCAACCCACUGCACUAUCAUUAUCAAACACCGUGCAGGGAAAUUUGAGUUCGUGUCAGUGACUGCAGGAGAAGUUGAUGGGGAGCAGUCAAGAUGGUUGGGGCUUAUUAAGCUAAAGAUCUAUAGGUGGCUGAGUUUUGCUGUAUUGAUAGUGAAAAAGUUUGUGGCAGCAAAGAGUUUAUGAUUCCUGAGUAGGGUGUUUUAGGGCAAUCGAUAGGUUUGUGCUUGAGUGGCUGUCUAAAAGGGAUUUAUCUUAUAAUGUUUAAGGGGUUGAAGUCAAACCUGAGCAUGACCAAUUAAUUGAUCUGUCCAACCCUUAUUCUGGCUAUACGGUUACCACCUGUACUUGGAAUUGUCUCAGUUGAUGCCACUUUUGCAUUCAAGAGCAUGACUGCCCACUCCAAAUCUUUUCUUUUCGAAUUCGUUCAACCUCCCAAACAAACAAAAAGGGGAUUGAAAGGAUUUCCAACUUCUUGCAAUUUGCAUGGUGCGAUACUGAUUUUUCAACACACCCUCUCUAUGAUUCUUUAUGCAUUUGUACAAAUGACAAAAUCUUUAAUAUUUUCGCUGGAGAUGAAAAGUCAUAAUCCCAUACUUUGUUUCUUCAGUCUUUCUUUUUCUUUAUGCUGUCCCCACUCUG